rnacentral:rRNA from 1 species
AUUGAACGCUGGCGGAAUGCUUUACACAUGCAAGUCGAACGGCAGCACGGACUUCGGUCUGGUGGCGAGUGGCGAACGGGUGAGUAAUGUAUCGGAACGUGCCCAGUCGUGGGGGAUAACGUAGUGAAAAUUACGCUAAUACCGCAUACGAUCUAUGGAUGAAAGGGGGGGAUCGCAAGACCUCGCGCGAUUGGAGCGGCCGAUAUCAGAUUAGGUAGUUGGUGGGGUAAAGGCCCACCAAGCCAACGAUCUGUAGCUGGUCUGAGAGGACGACCAGCCACACUGGAACUGAGACACGGUCAGACUCCUACGGGAGGCAGCAGUGGGGAAUUUUGGACAAUGGGCGAAAGCCUGAUCCAGCCAUUCCGCGUGCAGGAUGAAGGCCCUCGGGUUGUAAACUGCUUUUGUGCAGAACGAAAAGGUUUCUACUAAUACUAGGAGCUCAUGACGGUACUGUAAGAAUAAGCACCGGCUAACUACGUGCCAGCCGCCGCAGUAA